rnacentral:rRNA from 1 species
GUGUCAGCAGCCGCGGUAAUACGGGGGGGGCGAGCGUUGUUCGGAAUUACUGGGCGUAAAGGGUUCGUAGGUGGCCUGCUAAGUCAGAUGUGAAAUCCCUCGGCUUAACUGAGGAACUGCAUCUGAGACUGGAAGGCUUGAGUGCAGGAGAGGAAUGCGGAAUUCCAGGUGUAGCGGUGAAAUGCGUAGAUAUCUGGAGGAACACCGGUGGCGAAGGCGGCGUUCUGGACUGCAACUGACACUGAGGAACGAAAGCCAGGGGAGCAAACGGGAUUAGAUACCCCCGUAGUCC